GACGAACGCUGGCGGCGUGCUUAACACAUGCAAGUCGAACGGAAAGGCCCUGCUUUUGUGGGGUGCUCGAGUGGCGAACGGGUGAGUCACACGUGAGUAACCUGCCCUUGACUUUGGGAUAACUUCAGGAAACUGGGGCUAAUACCGGAUAGGAGCUCCUGCUGCAUGGUGGGGGUUGGAAAGUUUCGGCGGUUGGGGAUGGACUCGCGGCUUAUCAGCUUGUUGGUGGGGUAGUGGCUUACCAAGGCUUUGACGGGUAGCCGGCCUGAGAGGGUGACCGGCCACAUUGGGACUGAGAUACGGCCCAGACUCCUACGGGAGGCAGCAGUGGGGAAUAUUGCACAAUGGGAGGAAGCCGGAUGCAGCAACGCCGCGUGCGGGAUGACGGCCUUCGGGUUGUAAACCGCUUUCGCCUGUGACGAAGCGUGAGUGACGGUAAUGGGUAAAGAAGCACCGGCUAACUACGUG
rnacentral:rRNA from 1 species